ensembl:lncRNA
AUGACUGCUGUGAACAGUGAAAUGAAAGUGGCUUUGGAACAGGAUGCCCUGAACAUGGUUGUCGAAGGACUUGGUUGCAGCUCCUGGUGCGUAGUUGUACACAAAGUGCAAAAUCUGCUGGUGAAACUCUUCCAAGGUCAGGUCUCGUCUGCGCAAGGAUUCCAGGUCACACAAAUCGCAAGGAAACACGGCAUCGGGCGGAAUAACAAGCGCUGAGGCCCCUGCAUUCCCAAGACAGAUUCUCAAGAACAUGUAAUAAGAGCUACAUUUGCUGCAGUGUUCAAACACAUUUAUGAAAUAAACAUUACACUUUGUUUACUCUCUAUUCUUGUUUGUCACAAAAUGGUUUUGUUGACUGCUUAGAACUUCUACUAAAUUCUACUUCUGCUCAACCUUUGACUUGUCUAGUGAAUUGACUGGAAAAAUAUGUAAACGUGCCCCAAAAAGGAUGCUUGAAAUAUUACAAGCUAAGGCUACUGCUGCAGCAUUUUUCAGUGAAUAGGUUACUAGUAGGUUAAUUGCAGAUCUAAAACCCUGUUUGUCUGGAAGAGUAAAAACCUUACCAUGUUUAAGGGUGAUUGAGUUUUCACAAAGCAGCACUGCAAUAACAGCAUCUUCUUCCAAAACACGUGUCCUCAAAUUAAGCUUAGCAUGAGCUUGUGCAAGAGUAAUCCUGGUAAAAUCAAUAGGUGUAUAUAUUUGGUAAUUAGAAGCAGUUCCAAGUACAAAUACUGACAUGCUGAAUCUCUUUUCUGAUAUGUGAUCC